rnacentral:rRNA from 1 species
GACGAACGCUGGCGGCGUGCCUAAUACAUGCAAGUCGAACGCACUCUCGUUUAGAUUUAGGGAGUUUGGUCCUGAUUGAUAGACAGUUGAGUGAGUGGCGGACGGUCUAGUAAUUCGUGGGUAAUCAGCUCUAAAGAGUUGCGCUACUACUGGAUACAGACUCCAAUACCGCACAAAACAUAACACCACAUGGCGCAGUGGUGAAAGCCGGUUUCGGCUUUCAUUUUAGGCUGGGCCCGCGGUGCAAUAGUUAGCUGGCGGGGUAAAGGCUCACCAAGUCCGAGGUGCAUAGCCGACCUGAGAGGGUAAUCCGCCACCCUGGGACUGAGACACGGGCCAGACUCCUACGGGAAGCAGCAGUAGGGAAUCUUCCACAAUGGGCGAAAGUCUGAUGGAGGAACGCCGCGUGGGUGAAGAAGGGUUUCGGAUCGGAAAACUCUGUUGUUGGGGAAGAAUGUGUCUGAGAGUAACUGAUCAGGUAGUGACGGUAACCAACCAGAAAAGCACGGCUAACUACGUG